UACGGAGGGGGCUAGCGUUGUUCGGAAUUACUGGGCGUAAAGCGCACGUAGGCGGCUUUGUAAGUUAGAGGUGAAAGCCCGGGGCUCAACUCCGGAAUUGCCUUUAAGACUGCAUCGCUAGAAUUGUGGAGAGGUAAGUGGAAUUCCGAGUGUAGAGGUGAAAUUCGUAGAUAUUCGGAAGAACACCAGUGGCGAAGGCGACUUACUGGACACAUAUUGACGCUGAGGUGCGAAAAGCGUGGGGGAGCAA
rnacentral:rRNA from 1 species